rnacentral:ncRNA from 1 species
ACAACGGCUCUUUUAAGAGCCACCUACAAACACAAAGGCAACUGUU